rnacentral:rRNA from 1 species
GACGAACGCUGGCGGCGUGCCUAAUACAUGCAAGUAGAACGCACAGUUUAUACCGUAGCUUGCUACACCAUAGACUGUGAGUUGCGAACGGGGGAGGAACGCGUAGGUAACCUGCCUGGUAGCGGGGGAUAACUAUUGGAAACGAGAGCGAAUAUCGCAUAAUAUUAAUUAUUGCAUGAUAAUUAAGUGAAAGGUGCAAUUGCACCACUACCAGAUGGACGUGCGUGGUAUUAGCUAGUAGGUGAGGUAACGGCGCCCCCAGGAGACGAUACAUAGCCGACCUGUGAGGGUGGUCGGCCCCCCUGGGUAUGGGACCCGGCCCCGACUCCCACGGGAGGCAGCCGUAGGGGAUCUUUCGCCAUGGACGAAAGGCUGACCGGACAACGCCGCCUGAGUGCAGGAGGUUUUCCGAUCGUAAAGCUCUGUUGUUCGGGAAGAACGGGUGUGGGAGUGGACUGUUCACACUGUGACGGUAUCUUACCAGAAAGGGACGGCUAACUACGUG